rnacentral:rRNA from 1 species
UACGGGGGGUGCGAGCGUUGUCCGGAAUCACUGGGCGUAAAGGGCGCGUAGGUGGCGUGAUAAGGGUGUGGUGAAAGCCCGGGGCUCAACCCCGGGUCUGCCAUGCCGACUGUCAGGCUCGAGUGCUGUAGGGGCAGGCGGAAUUCCGGGUGUAGCGGUGGAAUGCGUAGAGAUCCGGAGGAAGACCGGUGGCGAAGGCGGGUUGCUGGGCUGACACUGACGCUGAACUGCGAAAGCUAGGGGAGCGAACGGG